rnacentral:rRNA from 1 species
UCGACCUCAAAUCAGACAAGAGUACCCGCUGAACUUAAGCAUAUCAAUAAGCGGAGGAAAAGAAACCAACAGGGAUUGCCUCAGUAACGGCGAGUGAAGCGGCAAAAGCUCAAAUUUGAAAUCUGGUAGUUUCACUGCCCGAGUUGUAAUUUGAAGAACUUAACCUUGAUUACAGGCUCUGUCUAUGUUCCUUGGAACAGGACGUCACAGAGGGUGAGAAUCCCGUGAGGUGGGGCCUUGUUUUCUUGUAGGUUGUGUUCGACGAGUCGAGUUGUUUGGGAAUGCAGCUCUAAGUGGGUGGUAAAUUCCAUCUAAAGCUAAAUAUUGGCGAGAGACCGAUAGCGAACAAGUACAGUGAUGGAAAGAUGAAAAGAACUUUGAAAAGAGAGUGAAAAAGUACGUGAAAUUGUUGAAAGGGAAGGGCAUUAGAUGAGACUUGGCUUUUCAGGCACAUCCUCCUCUUGUAGGGGGUGCACUCCUGUUUAGCUGGGCCAGCAUCGAUUUGGACGGUGGGAUAAUGCUUCUGGGACGUGGCUGCUUUUUGCAGUGUUAUAACCAGUGAGUGAUACCACCUGUCUAGAUCGAGGACUGCGUCUUUAUGACUAGGAUGCUGGCGUAAUGAUCUAAUGCCGCCCGUCUUGAAACACGGACCAAGGAGUCUAACGUCUAUGCGAGUGUUUGGGUGUAAAACCCGUACGCGUAAUGAAAGUGAACGAAGAUGGGAGCUCUUAUGAGUGCACCAUCGACCGAUCCUGAUGUUUUCAGAUGGAUUUGAGUAAGAGCAUAGCUGUUGGGACCCGAAAGAUGGUGAACUAUGCCUGAAUAGGGUGAAGCCAGAGGAAACUCUGGUGGAGGCUCGUAGCGGUUCUGACGUGCAAAUCGAUCGUCGAAU